rnacentral:tRNA from 1 species
UGUCCCUUAGCUUAGUCUGGUCUAAAGCGUGCGACUGAUAAUCGCUGAUCGCUGGUUCAAAUCCAGCAGGGACAACCA